UACGUAGGUGGCAAGCGUUGUCCGGAUUUACUGGGCGUAAAGAGCGCGCAGGCGGUCAUUCAAGUCGAGUGUGAAAGCCCCGGGCUCAACCUGGGAACCGCGCUUGAGACUGGCAUGCUCGAGUUCGGGAGAGGAUGGUGGAAUUCCCAGUGUAGAGGUGAAAUUCGUAGAUAUUGGGAAGAACACCGAUGGCGAAGGCAGCCAUCUGGACCGACACUGACGCUGAGGCGCGAAAGCGUGGGGAGCAAACAGG
rnacentral:rRNA from 1 species